rfam:Fonticula alba strain ATCC 38817 unplaced genomic scaffold supercont2.3, whole genome shotgun sequence.
GGGUCCAUAGCUCAGUGGUAGAGCGUUUGCACCAUAACUCAAGGUCCUCGGUUCAAUCCCGAGUGGAUCCA